GCACGGGAUUUCCGUGUCCCGGUGUGAAUCUGGCCAGGACCAUCUGCUAAGGGCUAAAUUACUACCUAGCGACCGAUAGUGAACCAGUACCGUGAGGGAAAGGGUGAAAAGCACCCCGGGAGGGGAGUGAAAUAGUACCUGAAACCGUGUGCUUACAAAUAGUCGGAGCCCUAUACCACCCACAAAAGUUAUACUUUUGCGGGGCCCUUAAAUGGGUUGACGGCGUGCCUUUUGUAGAAUGAACCGGCGAGUUACGGUAGCGUGCGAGGUUAAGUCGAAGAGACGGAGAGCCGCAGCGAAAGCGAGUCUGAAUAGGGCGCAAGUACGUUGCCGUAGACCCGAAACCGUGUGUCUAGCCAUGUCCAGGGUGGAAGGUAGGGUAACACCUUACUGGAGGGCCGGAACCCCACGCACGUUGAAAAGUGCGGGGGAUGAGGGUGUGGGCUAGCCGGUGAAAAUUCCCAAUCGAAACUCGGGAGAUAGCUGGUUCUCGGGGAUGAGGUGUGGCUAGCGGUGAAAUUCCAAUCGAACUCGGAGAUAGCUGGUUCUCCCGCGAAUAGCUUUAGGGGCCUAGCCUCGGAAAUGAAGAGUCUUGGAGGUAGAGCGCUCUUGAUUUUGGGGCUUGGGGCCCUCAUCGGGUUACCGAACUCAGGAAAACUCCGAAUGCCAAAUGACUUAUGUCCGGGAGUCAGACGAUGAGUGCUAAGAUCCAUCGUCAAAAGGGAAAAGCCCAGACCAUCAGCUAAGGUUCCCCCAAGUGUUAUGUUAAGUGGGAAACGAAUGUGGAGUUGCCCCAAGACAACCCAAGGAUGUUGGUUAUAUGAAGCAGCCCACCAUUUAAUGAGGGCGUAAUAGCUUAACUGGUCGUGUCACUCUGCGCGGAAAAAUGUAACGGGGCUAAACAUACCACCGAAGCUAUGGCAGGUCCUUACGGACUGGGUAGGGGAGCGUUCCAACAGCAGUGAAGCCGGUACCGGGAGGGAGCGGUUGGAGCGGCUUGGAAGUGAGAAUGCCGGUGUAAGUAGCGAAAAGACAAGUGAGAAUCUUGUCCACCGAAAGCCUGUGAAGAAUGCCGGUGUAAGUAGCGAAAAAGACAAGUGAGAAUCUUGUCCACCGGAAAGCCUAAGGUUUCCUGGGGAAGGCUCGUCCUCCCAGGGGUAAGGUCGGGACCUAAGCUGGAGGCCGAAAGGCGUAGGCGAUGGACAACAGGUUGAUAUUUUCCUGUACCACCUCUGUUCCGCUUGAGCAAUGGCGUGACGCAGGAGGAUAGGGUGAGCGGCCUACUGGAUGGCCGUCCAAGCGGUAAGCCUGGUGUGUAGGGCAAAUCCGCACACUGUUAAGGGCCAAGCUGUGAUGGCGAGGGAAACAUAAGUACCGAAGCCCUGAGAUUUCCACACUGCCAAGAAAAGCGUCUAGCGAGGAACAAGGUGCCCGUACCGCAAACCGACACAGGUAGGCGAGGAGAGAAUCCUAAGGUGCGCGGGAUAACUCUUGCUAAGGAACUCGGCAAAAUGGCCCCGUAACUUCGGGAGAAGGGGCGCCCCGGUAGGGUUUAUAGCCCGAGGGGGCCGCAGUGAAAAGGCCCAAGCGACUGUUUAGCAAAAACACAGGUCUCUGCGAAGCCGCAAGGCGAAGUAUAGGGGCUGACGCCUGCCCGGUGCUGGAAGGUUAAGGGGAUGGGUUAGCGCAAGCGAAGCUUUGAACCGAAGCCCCAGUAAACGGCGGCCGUAACAAUAACGGUCCUAAGGUAGCGAAAUUCCUUGUCGGGUAAGUUCCGACCCGCACGAAAGGCGUAACGACUUGGGCGCUGUCUCGGCAAGAGACCCGGUGAAAAUCAUAAUACCUGUGAAGAUGCAGGUUACCCGCGACAAGACGGAAAGACCCCAUGGAGCUUUACUGUAGCCUGGUAUUGGAACUUUGUGCAUCAUGUACAGGAUAGGUGGGAAGCUGAGAAGCAGGGGCGCCAGCCUCUGUGGAGCUGUCGGUGGGAUACCACCCUUGAUGUACGGAGUUUCUAACUCGUCGCCCUUAUCGGGCGAGAGGACCAUGCCAGGUGGGCAGUUUGACUGGGGCGGUCGCCUCCUAAAAGGUAACGGAGGCGCCCAAAGGUUCCCUCAGAAUGGUCGGAAAUCAUUCGUAGAGUGUAAAGGCAGAAGGGAGCUUGACUGCGAGACCUACAAGUCGAGCAGGGACGAAAGUCGGGCUUAGUGAUCCGGUGGUUCCGCAUGGAAGGGCCAUCGCUCAACGGAUAAAAGCUACCCUGGGGAUAACAGGCUUAUCUCCCCCAAGAGUCCACAUCGACGGGGAGGUUUGGCACCUCGAUGUCGGCUCAUCGCAUCCUGGGGCUGAAGUAGGUCCCAAGGGGUUGGGCUGUUCGCCCAUUAAAGCGGUACGCGAGCUGGGUUCAGAACGUCGUGAGACAGUUCGGUCCCUAUCUGUCGCGGGCGCAGGAAGUUUGAGGAGAGCUGUCCUUAGUACGAGAGGACCGGGAUGGACGCACCGCUGGUGCACCAGUUGUCACGCCAGUGGCACAGCUGGGUAGCUAUGUGCGGAAGGGAUAAGCGCUGAAAGCAUCUAAGCGUGAAGCCCCCUCCAAGAUGAGACUUCCCACAGCGUUAAGCUGGUAAGACCCCUCAUAGACGAUGAGGUUGAUAGGUUCGGUGUGGAAGCGCGGCAACGCGUGGAGCUGACGAAUACUAAUCGGUCGAGGACUUAUCC
rnacentral:rRNA from 1 species